GGAGAGGUGUCCGAGUGGUUGAAGGAGCAAGCCUGGAAAGUUUGUAUAUCCGCAAGGGUAUCGAGGGUUCGAAUCCCUCUCUCUCCG
rnacentral:tRNA from 1 species